AUAAUUUCUCCCAAGAUUACCCCAACAAAAUCUUCCAAAUCCAGAGGGAGUACAGAUUUAUGAUGCCGGGUUUCUCUGCACCCACAAGCAGGCAUGCAGGAGUUGCUGCUGUAAAUUUCUCCAGGGCUCACUAGCUCUCCUAAACCUACCACUUCCUCCCAAGGCAGAGAACAUUUUCCAGCACUGCUUGGUCCCGCAGCAGCAGAAGGAGCUGGGGACUGUGUGGAGGAUGUGGCAGAUGGGGGAAAGUGAUGUGGGACAGGAAGCAAGCUGGAGCUGAAGGGAAAGCUUGUGAGUAAAAGAAGAGGAGGACAAAAAGAUGCAAACAGGAAGAAAAAUGUCUUCAAAUCUGGCAUUCAGUAAGGUCCCUUCUUUCCUUGUGUGCACUGGGAUGAGGAGAAGACGAGGAGAUCUAAGUUUACAAUACACCCAGCAGUGGAAAAGCUCAUCUUUUUCAAAGCCAAAGCCAAAAUGAACAUGUGCCUUGCACUAAGAAAUCCCAGGAUUGUCACAACUUGUGCCAGCUGUUGAGGUUAUGACACCUGUGCCAGCAUCGCCAGCUCUGCCCACUGUCAUCUGUUCCAACUGUUCCAUCUGCACUGUUUGUACCAAUUCUCCCAUUUCUGCAUCUGUACCUUCUGCAGAAACGGGUCCAACAAUGCCAGCUGUGUCAUCGGUGCCAAAUAUGCCAGAUGUUCUAUUUGUCCACCCUGGGCCAAAUCAAUGUAGUUUUGUGCUCAUUAGUUUUAGCUGGUAGAUUCUAUUUCACAAUUUUUUGAGAUGCACUUAGAUCGAAUCAAUUCUAAAUCACCACUACAACUGCUUUACAUCUAUCUCACCAUAAACAGAACUUUGUUGUCCCACAUUUGGUCAAAAUUAUUUUAACCUUAUUAAGUUGCACAUGAUGAUUUGAGUUCUUUCUUAAUGGCAAGAUUAUUUUUUUUAUUUUAGAGGAUGUAGCUGCAGAGAGAUGAAUAGAAAAAGAUAAGGGUCAUGGUGUCCAGGCUGUAAAUAAUCCCCAUGGUUACAGUAAAUAUUGUCCACACACUGAUCUACUGACUGAGAAAUCCCUGGUGCUGAUCCCUUAUUCCACACUGCUGAUAAGGAGAAGACCAUCUGAUGCUGGUUUAUUUGCACUGAGUACCUUAAGGUGGGAGAGACAGCGAAAAAUGAAGCCCUAGGUUUGUACUGACCAUGGGCAGGUUUAACUAGGGCUGUGCUAAAGGUCUGUUCUCCUCAUGACUGUCCUGCUCAGGACAGAGGGAGCCACUGUGCUGCCGGUGCCCCCUCACAACUACCCUGUGCCUGCGCCCAGUCUCAAUAGCUUUUCUAUUGGAGGUUGUAACCUGUAUCGAUUUGGGUGACAUGUGCUCUGCCUUGUCUGUGCUUCACUAAUGAGAUAAUAUUGGAAAACCGAAUUCGUGGGUCACUACUUUUUCUGAUUCAUCAUUUACUCGCAGGACUGUUCCAGUUUGCAUCCUUGGCCUCUUCCAGAAAGAUCCCACUGUAUCCACUGAAGGUGGUGGGACUUUAGGGUGUGUCAUGUCCUCUGGAAUUUAGCGCUCUGGGUCAGUCAAGAAAGUCAAAAUGUGCUGCUGUCAAGUAUCUCAGAAUGCACUUAAUUCCUGUAUAAGAGAACAAGCCCUGGUUUUGCAUCCCCG